GACAGAGGUCCCGAGCGUUAGGCGGAAUCACUGGGCUUAAAGCGUGUGUAGGCGGACGGGUAAGUACCUUGUGAAAUCCCACGGCUCAACCGUGGAACUGCUUGGUAUACUGCCUGUCUUGAGCCAGCUAGGGGCAACCGGAACAAAUGGUGGAGCGGUGAAAUGUGUUGAUAUUGGAAGGAACACCGGAGGCGAAAGCGGUGUACUGGGGCUGGUCUGACGCUGAGGCACGAAAGCCAGGGGAGCGAACGGG
rnacentral:rRNA from 1 species